GCAGUGGGACUCCUACGGGAGGCAGCAGUGGGACUCCUACGGGAGGCAGCGGUGGGACUCCUACGGGAGGCAGCAGUGGGGCCCACUCCUACGGGAGGCAGCAGUGGGGCAGUUGGCUCAGAACGAACGCUGGCGGCGUGCCUAAUACAUGCAAGUCGAGCGGAGUUACAGGGGCUUGCUCCUGUAACUUAGCGGCGGACGGGUGAGUAACACGUGGGCAACCUGCCCUCCGCUCCGGGAUAACUCAGGGAAACCUGAGCUAAUACCGGAUACUCCGAUCGGGUCGCAUGGCCUGAUCGGGAAAGUUCCGGCGGCGGAGGAUGGGCCCGCGGCCCAUUAGCUUGUUGGUGAGGUAACGGCUCACCAAGGCCGCGAUGGGUAGCCGAGCUGAGAGGCUGAUCGGCCACACUGGGACUGAGACACGG
rnacentral:sRNA from 1 species